rnacentral:rRNA from 1 species
GAUGAACGCUGGCGGCGUGCCUAAUACAUGCAAGUCGAACGGGGGCAGCAAUGCCCUAGUGGCGACCGGGUGCGUAACACGUAGCUGACCUGCCCCUCAGCGGGGGACAACAGUGCGAAAGCGCUGCUAAUACCGCAUACGCUCCGCGCUUUCAGAAAGCCUGGAGGAAACUUACGGGGUUGAGGGAGGGAGCUGCGGCCCAUCAGGUAGUUGGUGAGGUAACGGCUCACCAAGCCAACGACGGGUAGGGGGCCUGAGAGGGUGGUCCCCCACACUGGGACUGACACACGGCCCAGACUCCUACGGGAGGCAGCAGUAAGGGAUAUUGCGCAAUGGGCGAAAGCCUGACGCAGCAACGCCGCGUGGAGGAUGACGGCCUUCGGGUUGUAAACUCCUUUUGGUUCGGACGAGGAAGGACGGUACGGACUGAAGAAGUCACGGCUAACUACGUGCCAGCAGCCGCGGUAAAACGUAGGUGGCAAGCGUUAUCCGGAUUUACUGGGCGUAAAGCGUGUGCAGGCGGUCGUUCAAGUGGUGUAUGAAAUCGCCCGGCUUAACCGGGCGGGGUUAGGCCAGACUGGACGACUGGAGUGCGGGAGAGGGGCGUGGAAUUCCGGGUGUAGUGGUGAAAUGCGUAGAGAUCCGGAGGAACCCCAGCGGCGAAGGCGGCGCCCUGGCCCGCAACUGACGCUCAGACACGACAGCAUGGGGAGCGAACGGGAUUAGAAACCCCGGUAGUCCAUGCCGUAAACAAUGCCAACUAGGGCGUCGGGGGUCUCAACCCCCUCGGUGCCGGAGCUAACGCGGGGAAGUUGGCCGCCUGGGGAGUACGACCGCAAGGUUA